CAGUAGCCACGGUAAUACGUAGGUGGCAAGCGUUGUCCGGAAUUAUUGGGCGUAAAGGGCUCGCAGGCGGUUUCUUAAGUCUGAUGUGAAAGCCCCCGGCUCAACCGGGGAGGGUCAUUGGAAACUGGGAAACUUGAGUGCAGAAGAGGAGAGUGGAAUUCCACGUGUAGCGGUGAAAUGCGUAGAGAUGUGGAGGAACACCAGUGGCGAAGGCGACUCUCUGGUCUGUAACUGACGCUGAGGAGCGAAAGCGUGGGGAGCAAACAGGAUUAGAUACCCCAGUAGUCCCUGUCUCUUAUAC
rnacentral:rRNA from 1 species